UAUAACUGGUUAAAAUGUAACAGUAUGUUUUAGGUUCCAUGAUUAUCUCUGCCUUCGCCAUUGACAUUUAACAGAGAAAAUUAAUUAUGAAUCAAAUUCACUAUUGCUGUUUUAUUCCAAUGUUGCUCGUUAACUGUCUAAUUCUGAUAUUGUGAAUGGUAGACCAAAUUGAUUGCUUUUGUUGUCUGAAUACACUGACAUCAAAGAGCUUCCUCCUCAUCGACUAGCUGUGAUUCGUCGCUUUUUUGAAGACUACAAGAAGAAUGAGAACAAAGAGGUUGCAGUUAAUGAUUUUUUGCCUUCAGCUACAGCUCAUGAAGCUAUCCAGCACUCCAUGGUUUGAAAAGGAAAUGUUUACAAGGACGAACGAGAAACAUGCUAUGGAAAGAGAAGCAUAUCUUUGGUCUGUCUCAGAUAUGUGAAGUGUACACCAAAGAAAACGACACAAACUUUAUUUCACUGCUUAGAAAGUGCAAGGUUGGUU